rnacentral:sRNA from 1 species
GGGUGUGGUGGCGCACACCUGUAACCCCAGUGGCUCAGGAGAACGAGGCAGGAGGAUCACGAGUUCACAGCCAGCCUCAGCAAUGGUGAGGCUGCUAAGCAACUCAGUGAGACCCUGUCUCUA